UAAAAAUCACAAAGGGUGGAGGAUACUCCUUGCAACAGAAGACAGGAAGAAAGCCCAGAUGCUCUCCAAUGGGCCACCAUGUUUGCUCUCUUGAAUUUCUAUGCCUUAAAUCCUUGGAGAAAAUCUGGAUUCAAGUUUCCCAUGGAAAACCUUGACUGGUGUGUGUGUGUGUGCGCGCGCGCACUUUAGCAAAAGCAUUAAUGGACAUGGAGAGGGGUGCAGAAGGCAGCAGGGGCCCAUCUUAACAUCUGGCCUUGAGGAACUAUGCCAACCUUUCUAUGCCCCUGUACUGAACAUCACUAGAAGGUUGGUGCAUUCCUCCUAGGGGCUAGAAUACAUUUUGCACAAAUCACACACACACAAAAUCAUUAACAGCAAAUAUUUAUAUACUGGUUUUCAACAAAACUUUCCAAAGUGGUUUACAUAGAGAAAUAAUAAAUGAAUGUAGUUAAGCAUUUAUUUAUAAUUCUUAACUUAAGAUGACAGAUAUUUUGUCAUAUGCUUCAUUCUUUUAAAAA